rnacentral:rRNA from 1 species
CCCUUAGAUGUUCUGGGCCGCACGCGCGCUACACUGACGAUGGCAACGAGUUUUUCCUUCGCCGAAAGGUGUGGUAAUCUUUUGAAACAUCGUCGUGCUGGGGAUAGAUCAUUGCAAUUUUUGAUCUUGAACGAGGAAUUCCUAGUAAGCGCGAGUCAUCAGCUCGCGUUGAUUACGUCCCUGCCCUUUGUACACACCGCCCGUCGCUACUACCGAUUGAAUGGUUUAGUGAGGACUCCUGAUUGGCGCCGCCGCCCCGGCAACGGAGCAGCGGACUGCCGAAAAGUUGUUCAAACUUGAUCAUUUAGAGGAAGUAAAAGUCGUAACA